GGGGCAAUGGCGCAUCUGGGAGCGCGUCAGACUGAAGUUCCAACUUUAGCCACUGGAUUCGUCUUGCGGGAUGUUUCUGUAAUCUGAAGGUGGCCGGUUCAAGCCCGGCUUGCCCCA